ensembl:lncRNA
AGUCCCAGCUGCAGCACGCUUUUGUUCAAACUCAGAAGUCAGACAGUCCUUUACAGAGGCGCUUGUUUACCUUACUCACCAAAUGUGUUUAUAACACGCUGACAACAGUGUCGCUCUUGUCAGGUGCAUUCAGCUUGCUGUGCUUUUAACCUACACUGCCAGUUUUGGAAACAAAAAAAUAUUUUAGUUGUACUUUAGUUGUGUGAAGUUAUUCAAACAGGGACGAGUGAAGAAGGAAGGAUUUUCCUUGAACCCGUUUUCUAUUGGUUUUGCUUGGGGUUUGACUGCUGUCAUGUACAGUUUCUAGACAUUUUCUUUGACAGACAGGAGAGAGUAAGCUUAUGCUACCCUUCAUCCUCCUCGCUGGAUAUCUAUGGAGAGGCUGUCCUGUAUGCUCCCACGCAGCUCUUGGAGUUACUUGCGGCCGAGACAGCACCGUGAAUGUUGAAUUCACCGACCUGGAUAGCAGAAGACGGCACACAUAACCUCAUUUGAAUGCCUUUGCAAGGAGUUUGCUGCUUUCUGUUCUGCAGGCAGGGCUUCAGUUUGCUCGGACGGGACUAUGGGGAGAAAGAGGAGGAAGAGUCUUUUGAAUUGCGCAACAAGGAGGACUUGACUCCCAAUGGACGGAGUCCAGCUGAAGUGACUGUUUCUCAACCAACUCGCACAGCCAAUGGAACAAAUGGCCCAGCUUCAGCCAGAGGCCCAUGCAGCCAGGCCAAGCACUGUGGGGGAGGAGAUGCAGACUUAAGAGAGAGGAAUGGAUUUCUACAAAGAGAAACUGAUUAUUUAUUGCUACAGUAUGACCCACUGUAUUUUAAUGAAGGUCAUCUCAGAUAGUGUUAUUUAUCCUCGGGGAUUGUUCUGAUAAACUGUGUAACUUGCUGUCAUUUGUGCACAGUUAUAUGAGCCUGGACAUCAACAGAGGCAGCUGCUUUGAGGUCAUUUCUUUGAAUGCCUCUUUGGACCCAUCCUGACAUUUCAUCCAUCACAUAAAUCAUCAAGUAUUUCUGUGACCCGUCCGCACAAGGGUCAUUUAUGCAAUUGUGCGGGUUCUUGUGGUCACAAGGACCCGCUUUGUAUGCUGGAACAUGUCUCCGCUGUUUCCACUGCGGUCACCCAAGCCCAAGAGCAAGGACACUACUUUUCUAACUUUAAUUAGCGUCUCGGCGUUUUGAUUAGACCCUGGACUGAAAUCAAUUACUCAUCGCUCCAGCAGCCUCCACCAGACCGACACUCACAAACUAAUCAACUCAUUGUGCUGUUUGUACUUGGUGGAUUUAAGUGUGUCACCGUCAUUGUCACCAUGAAAGGGCUGCAGACAAUAUGCUGAUGAUGACCUUAUUUCAGUAUGCACUGUUGGAACUGUCCAUAAGCUGUUGAUUUGAGUCUUGUUUCCAUAAUAACCCUCGAUUUGCGAAACUCUGGCGAGAUGGUUGAGGUUAGGGGUUAUCCUCAAAUGGUUAGGGUUAAUAAAGGUAGCGAGUCUUGCAAGAUUUUUCCCAAAUCAAGGGUUGUUAUAGACACAACCUCAAUCUGUAUCCUAAAUAAUGCUGCAUUCACGCAGUUUUGGUAGAAUGGGAAGAACAGGAAAACCUCCUGAUUAGUCGUUUAACAGCUUUUACUAUUCAACUAUUUUAAUAAACAGAUCAUUGUGUUGGUUGCUGGUUCCACCUUCUUAAACGUGAAGAUCUGGUGAUUGAUUUGAUUGAUUGACUGAACCAAAUCAGUUGUAUUCGUGUUAAUGUUGCAUUUAAUUUUUAUGAAACUGCCAGCUAUGAAGGCUCUUCUCAGAACUGUGUGGGCGUGUACAGACCGUACUUGAUUGACAGCUCCCUGAUUCUCUUGUUCAUUUUGUGGCACAUGUUAGGGCGGGACAGCGUACACCUUUACCUUGUAAAGCUCCUUCAAGUACGUGGAAGUGUGUGACAUUAUGACACUAUGCUUUAGAUGUAUUAUAGAAUCAGAUUUAUGGGGUUGUAGGAAUUGAGGGAAUUGUUUUGUCUUCUUUUCAUGAGUUCUGUUUGCUUCCUGGGCCGAGCUGACCUAUGCAACGUGAUUAGCAGAUGUUUUUCUUUCCACUUUCAUAAACAAAUGAUUGUGAAGGUGUUUUGUCUUUUUCCUAUGCUGCACCUUUUUCCUAGAAGCAAAAGUACUUCUCUGUGUUUCUAAUAGAAAACAAACAGCUGUACUGUGUUGAUCUCCAAACUCCUCUGCAGCAGCUGAUUUUUAGUCCACCAGGGGAGGGCAAGAGAGACAGAGAGAGGUGCUGUCUGUCUGUGGAUGUGCACUCGCUCUAUUCUCCGUGCUGUCUAAUCCCCAUGUCAAAUUGUUUCCUGCACUCCACAGGAAGUUGCCCACUAAAGGCCUCACCGUCACGGCCUUUGCUGGGGUUUCUGGGAAUGUGGGGGUGGUAGCAUUGGGGCCUGUGGGGGUUUUAGGGCUGCUGGGCAGCUGUGGAGAUCCAAAGUACAAUUAUCAAACUGACUCGGCAGCGUCUAAUUUGAAGGUCAGGCUAGUUUGUGCUGCUAAAGGUCAACACCUAGGUUAUAAUCCUUCCUCCUUCUCUACGUGGACUAAAAGAAGCACUAAAAUGGACUUAUAAAGUAUUUCAGGAAGGAAAAAGAGAUUUCUGUCUCUUUUUUUGCGGCAUGGCAACACGCCCACGUUUCUUUGAAAUCUGCUCACACGAGAAGUUUAAUUUUGAACUCCAAGAAUAUUCCUCCAGGAUGUACGUACGACCAUGUGGACC